GACCGCUCCAAUGGCCUAGUGAUUAGAGCGUCCGCCUUGGAUGCGUUAGGUCAUGGGUUCGAACCUCAGUCCAGUCA